CCCUUAGAUGUUCUGGGCCGCACGCGCGCUACACUGAUGCAUUCAACGAGUUUCUUCCUGGUCCGAGAGGAAUGGGUAACCUUUUGAAAGUGCAUCGUGAUAGGGAUAGACUAUUGCAAUUAUUGGUCUUCAACGAGGAAUUCCUAGUAGACGUAGUUCAUCAGACUGCAUCGAUUACGUCCCUGCCCUUUGUACACACCGCCCGUCGCACCUACCGAUUGAAUGGUCCGGUGAAAUCUUCGGAUUGAGACUUUGAUUUCUUCACGGAAAACGCUGUUUUAAAAAGUUGAUUAAACCUUACCAUUUAGAGGAAGGUGAAGUCGUAACA
rnacentral:rRNA from 1 species